rnacentral:lncRNA from 1 species
GUUUUUCUGUCUCCCACUCGCUGUCCCCAGGUUUGGGGAUACAGUAGCAAACAACGCAGACAAAAAAUAAAAUCAACACUCUCUUUUGAAGGUGUUAGGAAUGAUGUGAAGGAGGUAGCCCAGCAAAGGACUAAACAAAAAGGGAAGAAAAAAAUGGAAUAAAGUUCCUGACAAAGGAGUAAGUGAAAUAUGUUGCAGUUUCAGGAAAAGGGAUUGGCUGGAGCCCCGUGAACAAGGAGAGGGUGGUGAAUAGGGGACAGAAGCCUGGGUAUGUAGACAGGUCAGAUCCUUGAAGAGCAUGCUAAGGAUGAGGGGAUUACUCUGGGCAAUGGGAAAGCCACUGGAGAUCUUACAUAGGGGAAGUACAUGAUAUAACUUAAUGUUUUAGAAAAAUUACUCUCACUGCUUUGUGAUGGAGAAAGUGUAAGAAAUACGAAUAGAAGCUGGAAGACAAAAUGUGGGGCUGAUACAGAUAACUUUACCUUUUCUUUUUAGUAAGAAUAAGGGAUGUUGGACACUCUUCAUGCCCCUCUUAAUUUCUAAAAAAUACCCAAGGAUGGGGGUUCUUUGACCUGAGGAAAUUAAAAUAUUCAGCACUUUUAUGCUUUAAUGGGCCUAGAAAGAACUUAAUUGAUUCAGGUUAAGUAAGACUUACAUUAAACUGAUUGCUUUUGAUUAAAAUAUAAUAUCUUCCAGCUGAGGAUGGAAAUAACUUUCAUAUGGUUGGCAAUAUUUGAAAUAAUUACUCAACCCCAGUUGAAAUAAAGGUCUAAAAAUUAUUUUAUUAAUUUUCCUCAGAGUACAUCUUUUUACAAAUAAUACCACCCAUGAGAGAGAAGAGCCAUGAGAUGGGUCAAGGACAUCCUAUGAGUAACUUCAGUAGAGGCUGAAAUAACAUAUUCUAAUAUAUGAUCCACUGCUAACAUUUGGCAAAACCAUUUGGAAGAGUCCCAUACUGAGGCAACAAUCCCAGUUAAUAAGCUCCAUCGAAUGAUGUUCAACAACUGAUAAUGUGAACUCAGGUUGAACUCUAGUCAUAAAACUUGGAAAAGGGGGAGUUUGAGAAAUUGUAUCUUUUUUAUUGCAAAAUGAUUGACCUGAGUGUGAGAUCAAUGCUAAGCAUGCCUCUAUGGGGUAGAUAAGUUCAAGGCCAAGCUCAAAAAAAUAGGAACCACUCAACACAGGUUCAUCAUCUUCCAGACCCAUCUGUACUGAAGAACAUUUUUGGAUUCCCAAAGCGGCAGUGAAGUUCUUAUCUCUAAUUUGAACUGACAUGCACGGUUCUUAGUAAGCACAACUAAACAGUCUCUGAAAUAUGUUAGAAAUGCAAUAGAGUCAAAGAACUCAUCUACUUGGGAUGACCGUUUUUAUCAUUACUUUUAUUACAAGUAAAACCCCAUGUAGAUUAAUGCAGUCUCUCCUUUAGAGAAAUGUUUUUUUUUUUUUAACUUUGAAAAAGUUAAUGGCUUUUAUUGUACUUUUUUCUUUAAAAAUACAAUAAGGCUUUUUUUUUUUUUAAUUAAAACAAAUUUUUUUUUUAGGGCUGCACCUGCGGCAUAUGGAAGUUCCCAGGCUAGGGGUCAAAUCGGAGCUACAGCUGCUGGCCUACACCGCAGCCACAGCAAUGCCAGAUCCAAGCUGCAUCUGCAACAUACACCACAGCUCCUGGCAGCGCCAGAUCCUUAACCUACUGAGUGAGGCCAGGGAUUGAAUCACAUCCUCAUGAAUACUAGUCAGGUUCGUUUCCGCUGAGGCACGAGAGGAACUCCAUAAAAAUGUAACAAGGCUUACUAUAGAAAAUUUAGAAGCUAGAAAAAUGUGAAAAGGAGAAAAGUAAAAUUAGUUAUGAUACCUUACCUAGUUGGACAGACCAACACACACCAAUGAAUUCUUCCUGUAGGACCCAUCAGUAGUCUUUUCGGCCUUUUUCUCUUUGGCUAUGGCAUACGGAAGUUGCUGGGCCAAGGAUCAAACCUGCCCCAUAGCAGUGACAAUACUGGAUCCUUAACUGCUGGACCACCAGGUAACUCUGCUGUGAUCUUUCAAACAUACAACAAAUACAAUUCCUUGUCACAAAACCUAAGGCUAUAGCAUAGUGUGAUUGUUCGGUAAUGUCCUGAUGUUUUUAAAUUACUCUAUAUUUUAUAUAUUUGAGGUGGCAACUUUGGGAGGUCAUAGUCUGUAUUCAUUCAAAAGCCUAUCCUGAGCGACGCAGAUUUGUGACAGUCUUCUGUUUGUCAAGGGAAGACAUGGGCUUGUGGCCAGGGUCUGCCAUCCCCCGUCUUUUAGGACAAGAGAGAAGAAGCCUCAGACAUUCCUCGCCCCUACUCCCCAGUACGGUGGUCACGGUGUGUCUGGUGUGUGGGAGGGUGCAGGGAGUACCACACAUGGUAAACCGAGAUCCUGUGGUUUUAACUUUCUUUCAGGGGCACGUGGGCCUCUGGGGUCCCUGGGAGAAUUCUGACCUAGUGUUCUGAGCAGGAUCCACUGUGCUUCCUGGAGGUCACUGAGAAGUCUGUGCUCUCACCCCUUCUCCUCUCAUCCUCUGUAUAUUGUAAGACUCCUACUCUUCAUGCCCCAUAUGUUUUAACUUAGUCGUUUCUUGUGUAUGACUCAUAGUUUCCUGUGCUGAUGUCUACCUCUCAUCUCUGACCCUUUCAGUCUUUCUUGAAAGUCCACAAGUGACCAUGAUCUCCCUCCCCCAUCUCAGUUCCCAGAACACCUGUGGUACUUCACUAGAGAUGAGCAUCACAUUUCCUCUUUUAUUAUAAUCAUGCCUAUUCAUCAUCUUUGUUUCUAUGUUGCACAGAAGCGUCUCAUUAGUAGUUGGCAGAUGCUUGUAGUGGAAGAAGCCUGGGCUUGAAGUCAGGUACAUUUGGGUUCAAAUUAUAGUUACAAGACAAAGGAAGAUUUAAACUUAAAUUUUCAAGAGCUGCGGAAAAAAAAAAAAAUCACUUGAUAUGUUAUAUGUGAAAAAAAAAAAAUCCCUGAACAACUAGAGAAGAGAUUUCUAAAACAAUAAUGAUUAUAGACUAAAAACUUACAGAGAACAGUAUUCUUAGUGAAGAAACUUUAGUUCUGACUUAUUUCCUUUAAGAAAAGGAGCAAGAAGGAUGCCAGUUAUCACUGCUAUUAGAUAAUGCAUUACUGGACAUAGUGGCUAAAACAGCAUGCCUUUGCCUCCAUAACAUUUAGUUGUGACCAUGGAGCUAAGUAUGGCUAAUGGCAUGUGAGGGAAGAUACCUCUUGUUCCAUCUGCCAGUCUCGUCCAGAAAACCUGUUAGCAUCAUUGUAGGUUGGAUCUUAAGCUGCCCUAAUUAAUAACACAUACAAUCAAGGGGAUGAGAUAAAGUAGCAAUAAUCUCAAGCAGUGACAAUACAACAAUACUAAAAAACCCCAAUGGGUGGCAGCACACAGUCUAGGUAGCUUAGGAAUUGCCAAGAUAUCAGGAUCUAAGGAUACAGAGAAGUACCAGCCACACAGGAAGAGGGCUAUCCACGUGGUCAGAAACCAGACAGAAGAGUUAGGAUUCAAGUUCAUUUACCUUGAGGAAUGGUGGGAAAAGCCAUUUUUAUUAAUCAAUAUUGAUCACUUUUUGAAGUCAGGCAGACAAACACAAAUAUAUGCUAUUACGUAUAUGUGGAAUUUAAAAUAUGAUACAAAUGAAAUUAUUCACAAAAUAGAAACAGACCCACAGACAUAGAAACAAACUUAUGGUUAUCAAAAGGGAAAUGGGGGAGGGAUAAAUUAGGAGGUUGUGAUUAGCAAAUACAAACCACUAUAUAUAAAAUAAACAACAAAGUCCUACUGUAUAGUACAGGGAACUCUAUUCAAUAUCUUGUAAAAGACCGUAAUGAAAAAGAAUAUGAAAAAAUAUUGAUCAUUUUGCUUUAAGAAAAGUUUUUAAACUACAGGGAAACAUAAUGCUAUUUUCAAUUCCUUAUCCACCUAUAGAAUAUUUGAGAAAGAAAUGCAGACCCCUGAUCUGUCCUAGCUGUGAUUUCAAGAAGAGUUACCAGUCGUCUGGGUAAUACUGUACCAUUUUGGUGGGCUCUAGCCCAGACACAGUGAGGGAGCUAGGAUGUGAAGAUGCUCUGUCAUUGCCUUGAGUCUCUCAUGUCCCCUGGAAGGAAGAGAAGUGUAGACAAAUCACGGGAUGCCAGAGGCUCCUGCUCUAAGCUGUACUAAACAAGAAUGGAGUUCCCACUGUGGCGCAGUGGAAACGAAUCCGACUAGUAUCCUUGAGGAUGAGGGUUCAAUCCCUGGCCUCGCUCAGUGGGUUAAGGAUCUGGCCAAGAGCUGUGGUGUAUGUAGGUCGAAGACGUGGCUCAGAUCCUGCAUUGCUGUGGCUGUGGUGUAGGCCUGGAGCAGUAGCUCUGAUUCGACCCCUAGCCUGGGAAUUUCCAUAUGCUGCAGGUACAUUCCUAAAAAAAAAAAAAAAAAAAAAAAAAAAAAAAAAAAAAAAAA